AUUGAACGCUGGCGGCAGGCUUAACACAUGCAAGUCGAACGAGUGGCGGACGGGUGAGUAAUGCUUGGGAAUCUAGCUUAUGGAGGGGGAUAACUACGGGAAACUGUAGCUAAUACCGCGUACCAUAGGAUGAGCCCAAGUGGGAUUAGGUAGUUGGUGAGGAAAAGGCUCACCAAGACGACGAUCUCUAGCUGGUCUGAGAGGAUGACCAGCCACACUGGUACGAGUACACGGCCCAGACUCCUACGGCAGGCAGCAGUGGGGAAUAUUGCGAAAUGGGGGCAACCUGACGCAGCCAUGCCGGGUGAAGGAAGAAGGCCUUCGGGUGGUAAAGUUCUUUCGGUAGCGAGGCGUUAACUACAGAAGAAGCCCCGGCUAACGCCGUGCCAGCAGCCGCGGUAAUAC
rnacentral:rRNA from 1 species